rnacentral:tRNA from 1 species
ACCUGGCUGGCUUAGUUGGUAGAGCAUGUGACUCUUGAUCUUAGGGUUGUAUGUUCGAGCCCCAUGUUGGGUG